rnacentral:rRNA from 1 species
AUGGCGAACGUCCAGCCCAUGGAGCGCACAAACGGGAUCCAAAGUUCUUCCAGGCGACGACCCAAAGAGGGAAGCGGUGAUGCCGACAUCAUCGUCCGACCUGACCAGGCCAUAGGCUUUUGCCCAAUGAACUGGAUCCAAGGGUGCGAAAAGGGUGGAAUCCACAGUGGCGUCUCCAACGACAUGAAACGACGUCCACAGACGCCGAUGCCGUCAGCCAGCAAGAGCCCGACAAGCUUUCGCCCGGAGCACCACCCAAACCCACACCCCCACGCACAACAGCUCCGAUGGACCACACACCUCAAUGGAGCCACCACACCCUGA